AAAACAUGUCCUUUAGAAUUUAAUUUAAGGUCUGACCUGCCCACUGAUUUAAAUGGCCGCAGUAUUUUAACUGUGCAAAGGUAGCAUAAUCAUUAGUCUUUUAAUUGAAGGCUUGUAUGAAUGGUUGGACGAGAUAUUAACUGUCUCAUAUAAAUUGAUUUAGAAUUUUAUUUUUUAGUUAAAAAGCUAAAAUUUUUUUAAAAGACGAGAAGACCCUAUAGAUCUUUAUAAAUUAUGAAUUAUAGUUAUUUAGAUUAUUUAAAUUAUAAUUAAUUAAUUUAUUUUGUUGGGGUGACAUUAAAAUUUAAUAAACUUUUAAUAAGUUAUUACAUUGAUUCAUGAAUAGUUGAUCCAUUAUUAAUGAUUAAAAAAUUAAGUUACCUUAGGGAUAACAGCGUAAUUUUUUUGAAGAGUUCAUAUCGAUAAAAAAGAUUGCGACCUCGAUGUUGGAUUAAGAUAUAAUUUUGGGUGCAGCAAUUCAAUAAUUAAGUCUGUUCGACUUUUAAUUUCUUCAUGA
rnacentral:rRNA from 1 species